UAAGGAAUAUUGCUCAAUGGGAGAAAUCCUGAAGCAGCAACGCCGCGUGGAGGAUGAAGGGUCUAUGACUUGUAAACUCCUGUAAAGAAGGAAAAAAUUCCCAUUUGAUGGGAGAUGAUGGUACUUCUGGAGUAAGCCCCGGCUAACUACGUGCCAGCAGCCGCGGUAAUACGUAGGGGGCAAGCGUUGUCCGGAUUUACUGGGUGUAAAGGGUGCUCAGGCGGAUUUGUAAGUCAGAGGUGAAAUCUUACAGCUUAACUGUGAAACUGCCUUUGAUACUGCAAGCCUAGAGUAUGGAAGAGAGUGAUGGAAUACCUGGUGUCGCAGUGAAAUGCGUAGAUAUCAGAUAGAACACCAAUGGCGAAGGCAGUCACUUGGUCCAUUACUGACGCUAAAGCACGAAAGCGUGGGUAGCAAACA
rnacentral:rRNA from 1 species